rfam:Clostridium sp. CAG:221 genomic scaffold, scf13
UGGGUAGUAUUUAUAAGAAACUGCACCAUAUUUAAUUUAUUUAGAAAUUUAAAAAGGCAGCUCAUAUCAAUUUUUGAAUGAGACUAAGA